rnacentral:rRNA from 1 species
UACAGAGGUCCCGAGCGUUGUUCGGAUUCACUGGGCGUAAAGGGUGCGUAGGUGGUGAGGUAAGUCGGAUGUGAAAUCUCCGGGCUCAACCGGGAGGGUGCGCGGAAAACUGGCGGGCUAGAGUACGGGAUGGGAGAGUAGAAUUCCUGGUGUAGCGGUGAAAUGCGUAGAUAUCAGGAGGAAUACCGGUGGUGUAGACGGCUCUCUGGACCGUAACUGACACUGAGACACGAAAGCGUGGGUAGCAAACAGG